rnacentral:lncRNA from 1 species
GCUGCCCUCCCUGCCAGCGUGACUGUGUUCUUCACCCUCCCCAGCCUGCUCCUGGUUUUAUCUCCUCUAAUGCCUCUUUGUCUCCUUGUUUCAGCCUUGCACUGGUGUUUUGAGGCUUCUGCCCUGAGACAGGAUCCUUGUACCAGCCGGCACUGGACUGUCCAUGGAAGGGAAAUGGCAUAUGGCCUCUGGACUGAAUUGCCACUGACCAACACACCGACCGAGGGGACAGACCUACUGCGGUGCAAGUCCCACUGUGUUGCCAUCGUUGCUGUAUUCCCAGGUGAAGUGACAAGUUGGGAAAACACUUCAUCAAGCUGAACUUCAGCUAUUUGGAAACCAGGCUGGAGGUUUGAGCAACCUGGUCUAGUGGGAGGUGUCCCUGCCCAUGGUGAGGAGGUUGGAACUCGGUGGUCUUCAAGAUCUCUUCCAACUCUAACCAUUCUAUGAUCACAGCCCAGGUACAGCCGGUGGUUAAAACCUAUUUCAUUUUUCCCCUUCUUUUCCCGGUUUUUGUCCUAGUGGCCUCAUUUAGUUUGAGGUUUGUGGUGUCAUUUUCCUAUCUGAGCACGUUCUCCAUUCUCUAGAGCUGGUGGCUUCUUGUUGACAUCAGUGAAGUUACUUUCCGUUGACAGUUGAACUGAGCAGUUUCAUUAAUGCUCACAGCAUCUGUUUGGAAGCAGACACUCACUAUGAGGAAGUGUCCCUGCAAGAGAACAGGCUGGGUGUUUGUACGAGGCAGCUCCGUCACAGGGUGUAAUUCACACUACCAGAUUUAGAUUUUUCACCUUGAGAAACAGGAUUCAGUUUAUGUGUUUUCUUAACAAGGAGUUACUAUUUUACUAUUUGCCUGUUAAAGGAGUUUUACAGGCAGAGGUUACUCUUCUCUCUUUUCUUUUCACCACAUAACAAUGGAAAAAAUAUUGUUGUCCUGUAGCCUCCAAACCUCUGGAACGUAUCAAAACCACGAUUUGUCAUAAAAAAUGUGGUCGUGUUCUUCAAACCGUGGUGGGAAAAGAUCAGAAUUUCUUUUCUUUAAUGUUGCUCAGCAUUUUAGUUUGGGGUGAAUGCAGCUCUCCCAAGUUUUUCCCUAAGCUUUUGUGGCUCUAAAUGUUAGAGGAAACAGUAUCAGUGAAUGCAAUAAUAUUUAAUAAAAAUACAGAAUUUUUGACUUUAAUAUUAAUU